rnacentral:tRNA from 1 species
AGUCGCGUGGUCUAAUGGUUAUGAUUUCUCGUUCACAUUGAUGUGUUCCCACUACUAUAAGUCCCGAGAAGGUUCCGUGUUCGAUCCACGGCGUGACUA